CUGAAGCCAGCAGGCAGCAAUAGAGGAAGGAGUGGAAGAUCGUUUUCAUUUUGGCUCCUGUGGAAAGAGAGGGAGAGAGAAAAAAGUUUGUCUCUCCGGCAACAAAGAAAAUAACUUUAAGGAAUGUUCCCAUCCUCGGCUUUCCAAGGCACUCCCCGACACUGUGAAGUUCCAUGUGAGACUGGAAACCCAGACGACAAUGAAUCCGAGACAAGCAUUGAGUUACUGAUUAAAUAUAAUAAGCAUGUCCAGCUGUAAAUACAAUAAACUCUAUAUUUGUUUGGA